GAAAGACCAUCACAAAGAUCAGCCUAUAAAGUUAAGGGGGAAAUUGUCUUUUCACAGAGAAUUUUAAAAAGCAACCACAAAAAAAAAAAAAAGUGUGUUUUCUCAACCAGAACAAAGCUAUAUUUUCUGUGGCUUCUGUAAACCAGACUUACCAUUCCAUACUCAGCCUUAUUACAACAUACUAUUUGAAAAAAAUGCAUAUAAUAAACGUGAAUGUCUUUAGAUGUCAAAAUGUGGGGCAAGUAUGGUAUAAAUCACCCCAACAAAAGACCUAGAACACUGCCAUGCAAGGGACAGGACAGACCCUUGUGGGGUCCGGUGUCUCCAGUCCAUACAGAUGUUCCACCACUAGGACCUGAGAAACAAACAGCUGAGGGGGGAAAAGUCCUUAUUAUUGGGGAUAAUACUAAUUUUUACUUCCCAUAGAUCACUUAGGCCCUUAACUAGAGGUGAUUUGUAAAAGAAAAGCAUUGCAUUAAUACCGGCUUUGGGAUGGGUAAUGGAGGUCCAGGAUUUUAAGUGUAAGUGAUUUAAACAUUAAAAAAACCCAAGAUUUUGCCAAACUGUGAGAAUCAAAUCACAUGACUGAAGGACUUAGAUUAGCCAUAUCUGAUUAUACUGCAGAAAAAGGAAGCCUUUGCUAUAGACUUAACCAUCCUCAGCAACUCCAAAAUUUAAGUAAAGCUCAUUCAAGAUGCGGUACAUAGCAUUUGUUAGUGUAAAAUCAAAGGGAAUACUAAUUAACGGUAACCUUUGCAUUGCCUCUUUAAAAUCCCAGGAAUACAUACAAAUUACACUAGUUAUUUAAUUUAAACCUACAACAGAAAAUAAAUACCUGAAUUUGAGGCCGCCUUUGCAGAUGAAGUGAUCAAAGACUGCAAACAGUAAGGGUGUCUCUCACCAUUUAAAACUAUCCCUUUGUUUGCAUCCCUACGUAUGCAGAUUGCGAGUAAAUACCAACACCUGGCAAACCCCAGGGAAGCCAGUCUCACACCAGGGCACUGCAGGGGUCUCUCAGCUCGGGAGAUGUGAGAAUCCAGCCUGGAUAAAAUACUGCAGUGGCACAGCUUCAGCUGCAAAACCAU
rnacentral:lncRNA from 1 species